UAGGAGAAUACAUUGUUGUCCUGUUUGC
rnacentral:piRNA from 1 species